ensembl:antisense BC051226 cDNA sequence BC051226
AAGACCGGUCCCUCCACCCUAGGAGGGUAAGGAAUCUCCUACAGGUAGCUAAGGAGCUGGUGUCUCUAUGGCUGUGCAGGGCUCCAGGGAACGAAAUAAAAGAUAUGCUUUUCCUGCCCUGGGUUGGUGUAAGCCUUGCACCGCCUUCUCUGCUCUCCCUCCGGCCCCUGGAGUUCCACCGCCUGGCUGCCUACGCUGGCCCUUCCCUUCCUUCGAGAGGAGGCGUGCACCUCGAGGCUGUCCAGCCCGGCCUCCUGGGCCAGGUGCACACACACACGAACACACGCAUACAAAUGAGCACAGCAUGAUGCUGGAGUGAGCUAUUGUUUUUAUUGUCGUCGGCGACACGCAUCUCAGACUGCACCACUGUCGUUAUGACCGAGCCCCCUGGUGCGAACCGUGGGUCCCCUGUUUGUCCCAGAGUCGUCUUGACGGAGCCGCGGAGAAAAGGAAGAGGGGGAAACCACUGUGAUGCCCGCCCGGCCCAGGGUGGGGAGGCAAGGUCCGCAGGUGUUGAUGAGGAAGCCUGAACGUCAACACUCUGCGCGGAGACUUCGGCUCUGCAGCCUUCCUUCCACGGUGGUGGGCAUCUUGCCAAUUUGCAGGACCAAGAAAGAAGCCCAGCUGCUCUCAGAGGACCCGAACUUCAAAUUUAAACCCACCUCCUCUCAUUGUGUCCGGCCUUCUGGGCUUACAGCAUUUCAAUAGGAGCGGGGUGGGGUGGGGUGGGGUGGGGUGGGGUAGCUCUCCAAUGGCUGACCCGACUCUUAAGAGAUGAUUUAAUUUUCUUAUCCUUGGGUUUCUCAAAAUGGGUUUCCCUGAAAUAAAGGUUCCCCCAUCUUUUCAC